UUGGUUCUCCCGCAACGCUACUCUGUUCACCAGGUCAGGUCCGGAAGGAAGCAGCCAGGGCAGACGACGUGUGUGCCGGGAUGUAGCUGG
rnacentral:SRP_RNA from 14 species